AAUAACAGUAAUUAUCUUCUGUAUUUAUGUCGUCUUUUUCACUGAAAUUAUAUUUUACUCACAUAAUUUAUCAAACUGGAGUGUAAAGAAGAAUAACAUGGGGUUUAUGGUCAGCAGUCAUUGCUGCAGUGUAAUGUCAAAGCUGUUGAGAAAAGUUGGUAAGGAUGUUCAUUCUGGAAUGUGUUCAGGGGGAGUUCAGAUCUAUUUUCGUGUGUGUGUGUGUGAUUGGACAGCACAGCAGGAGCCAGAGCAAUCAGUGUUUACACAAUAGGCCUAGUGUACACAGACUACCUUAGAACGUGUGUUAGAGAUAGAAGAAAUGUCUUGUCAUUUGAUUAAAAAUCACUCCUCCAGUUAUCUCAUUCCAAGUUAUAAACCUCGGAUGGACGUUGAAAAGGUGCAAAGUCUCUCUUAACGAUGUUUACCCGCUGACGUUGUUGCGAACUACACCCACAUGUAUGUAAUAUCAUUUAUCUUCCUCUCUCUCUUCCAGUUAUGUACAAAUCACCAACCAUGAGUUCCAGUCCUGAGAAUGGAAUGUUUCCUGUUAAGUGUCCGAUGACAGUCACUUUGGCACUCAGGUCAUUCUGAUUGAGGCAUCUGUUUCUUCAUAAUCUACUGAUGAUGGCAGCCUUUAAGGUCUGUGGUUGAUUACAAAUGAUAUGUAACUGCCCUAUAUAUCAAUGUUUCUAUACAGGGUUGCCAUGGUGUCAUAAUGCUCUAGAUUCUACCACUGCAGAACAUUGGUAUACUGUAAUACCAGCUAUGUACAAAUCACCAACCAUGAGUUCUAGUCCUGAGAAUUGCAUCGUGACCAUUUUCUGCAACUCUACAGGCAGGCACCAGAAAGGGUUGAUCUGGUGGUUUGACCAGUUUGGCACAAACUGCACAGGCAGUGCUGAACUUCUGGCCAAAAAGACAGACGACAAACUGUUUAGCCUCUCCAGUAAACUGACAGUUCUGAAGGCUACAUACAGGUGGUUCCACAAACUACUCAUGCACAGUGCACAACACCAAUGGAGUCCAGGAGGGGAAGGCAUCAUUUGAGAUCCCGUUUGUAUGUUCCACAGAUAUGCCUACUGUAACGCUCCGGGUGUCGUGGGUGUGGAGUCAGACGCAGGAAACAGAGAGUGCAAUGCUGUGCUCUUUAAUGCACAAACGCAACACAGGGUGCUCAACUAAACUGCCCCAAACACCGGGGACGAAAAUAGUACAACCGAAAUACACGACCAGGAACAAACACGUUUCUCUACUACAGAACCGAAGGUCACAAUAAUUAAUCCCGCACAAAGAAACAGGCGGGCCGGAUGUCUAAUAAAGCCCAACUAAUCAUUCACGAACAGGUGCUAACAAUAAACAUACAAGGAGGGGGAGGAAAGACAAUCAGUGGCAGCUAAUAGGCCGGUAACGACGACCGCCGAGCGCCACCCGGCCGGGAAGGGAAGCCACCCUCGGUCGGACUCGUGACACCUACUCCACACUUUACCCCGUAUAACAGACUUUUUUUGUUGCUACUUUUUGUACGUUUUUAUAUUUGACUUUGUUUGUGAUUAAUGCGAUAAUUGAGAUGAAAGCGUUUCUCCUUUGUCCCCCCCAAAAUGUGAAUCAUCUUUUGUAUGAUGUUUUUUUGUAUAUUUCACACUGUGAAAUUCCUUUUCAAAUCCCACACCUUGACACUGUUCGGGUUUUGUAAACAGGAUGAAGAUUUUAAUUGUUGUUUUUAAUUACUACAAUCUAUAAACAAAUAUAAAGCAUAAUUGAUGGGGUGGCGAAUCUGAUUUUUUUAAAUGUUCUAAGAUCUAAACUGUUUGAAUAAUAUUUAAGGAACCAAAAGCGGUAAACCCAUUGUGAGGAAAAUGUAUGUAAUUACUGCACAAAUAUAUAUUUUUUUAUCCAUCAUUAUGUAUUAUAUAAGUACUUAACAGUACCUGAAUACAUUUUUUUUGUGCCCAGCAACAGUACAGGGUUGCAUUCUUUAAUGCACACCGUAGCAAAACUAUUUGCAACGGAAAACAAAUAUCAAAUCAAACUUUAUUUGCCAUAUGCGCCGAAUACAACAAGUGUAGACUUUACCGUGAAACGCUUACUU
rnacentral:lncRNA from 1 species